UACGUAGGGGGCAAGCGUUGUCCGGAAUCAUUGGGCGUAAAGAGCGCGUAGGCGGUCCGGUAAGUCCGCUCUGAAAGUCCGGGGCUCAACCCCGGGAGGCGGGCGGAUACUGUCGGGCUAGAGUCCGGAAGAGGCGAGUGGAAUUCCCGGUGUAGAGGUGAAAUUCGUAGAUAUCGGGAGGAACACCGGUGGCGAAGGCGGCGACCUGGGUAGAUACUGACGCUGAGGUGCGAAAGCGUGGGGAGCAAACAGG
rnacentral:rRNA from 1 species